rnacentral:tRNA from 1 species
GGGGAUGUAGCUCAAAUGGUAGAGCGCUCGCUUUGCAUGCGAGAGGCACGGGCCGCAUCUCCA